GUGUCCACUUCAGCAGCAUGUAUGCUAAAUUUAGAACAUCACAGAGACGAUUAGCAUGGCCCUCCACACAUGAAUGACACACAAAUGCAUGAAGAGUUCCCCGUUUUU